ACGAAUAAUGAGAACUGAGAACCUUUAACAGCCAUACAAUAAAAAGAGAAUGAACGGAUGAGAUCUUAUAUCUAUUCUUGGCGUUUUUGUUCCUAAACCAACUGAAUCAGGCUCUAUCUCUCUUCUUCUCAAAGAUAAGGAAAAAUUAUCGCACUUUUCAAGCUUCAUUACCUCGAUUAUCAGCUCGAAUUUUUGAGCUGUUGAGGAACUUGAUAUUGAGUACAAUUUACAUACUUCUUGAACAAUUUGCUAGAUUCGUUGCUAAAUUUCUCAAUGACAGGGGAAAUCUAAGAAGAUGAGUGAGAAACAAAUGGAGAAAUAGGUCGAUCAUACACAACAAGAAAAGGAAGGGCAGUUGUUAUAUUAAUAAUAAGUCUGAAAGGGUAAAUUUAUUAAUAAUCAAAUUCUUCAUUACCUACUAGCAAUUUUAAUAACAACUUCAAAAGAUAAUAUUUUUUCUAAAAAUAUGCACAAAAGUAGUCAUUUUAUUUGGAGCAAAUUCAGAAAUAGCAUACCUGGCCUAAUAUGAUUGUUUAUACUUGUUCCAAAAAAUAAUAUCAUAACAAAGAAGAUAUUGUAUCAAUCAAAAGAUGAAAGCUCUGCAGAAGCAGUUCUAAAUGCAAGCAAGGUAAGAUUAUUAGCAAAUUUGUGAUCCUUUCCUGCAAACAUGCAACACAAAUAAUAAAUAUAUAACACAUUAGCAGGAACAAAUAUAAAACUCGUCCUCAUUAGCAUAUUGCAGCAUUGUAUUGAGAAAUGAUUAGUAUUUUAGUUGAUUGUUAGCUAAUUUAUUAGAAAUAAGUUGUUCAGAUGAGAGUUAAGUUUGUUAGAGAAGCAGGAAUUGCCCUACUCAAACAAUAAUUUAAGAGCUAAUUAUACUUUUGAUGCUAAACCACUUGAUGUAUUCCAGAUAUUUCAGAUGAAGUUAUUAGAAAUUGAAAAGAAACUCAAAAAUCGAUAAGCACUGGUUAAGGUUCCAUACACUUUAUUGUAUGUCUGUAUCCAAACACAUAAUACUAGCUCAUGUGGUUUUUGGUGUGAAAAAAGUAAAUAAAAACGACUCUUAAGUGAGUAAAAAAGACUUUAAAGUAAACCUAUUAGCUCAAGUGGUAGAGCACUAUGCAGAUGCAUAGAGAUGUAGGUUCGAUUCCUACAUAGGUUAUCUUAAAAAGUAAUUACAAAACACUCUAAAGUUAUUCAAAAUAUUUCAAAAGUAAAUAAAAAUAUCUCAAAAAUAGAAAAACAAAAAAAUAAAUAACUUAAUCUAUGUCAAAAAAAAAAUCAUAACUCUAGUAGAAAACACUAAAAGGGAAGUGGUUCAGACCCCCUAAUGGGAAGCAGUUUUGAAUUGGUCCGGCUUAGGGGUCUUCCCAUUGCCAAUUUAAAUGGGAAGCUGUUCAAACCGCUUCCCAUUUAGAGGUAAUUACAAGCGGUUUUGGCACUAAACCGCUUCCCAUUACGCCUAAAAAAUUUAUAAAAAAAAAAUCACUUAAAUUAAUAUACAAACAAUUAACAUAUGCAUAAAAAUUA